UGAAGAAUAAGAAUUCCGUGUAUCUGUGA
rnacentral:piRNA from 1 species